rnacentral:rRNA from 1 species
AAAAUGACUCUCGAUAACUGAUGCCUCAGCUCUCACAUCGAUGAAGAAUGUAGCUAAAUGCGAUACUUGAUGUGAAUUGCAAAACCCCGUGAACCAUCGAGUCUUUGAAUGUAAAUUGUGCCAAAAGCGGUUAGGCUGAGGGCAUGUCUGCUUAGGUGUCAUGUAUUACGUCGCUCCCU